AAGGGGCCUAGCCCCUUCCCCUUUAAAGCUACUGCCCUUUUGGGUAACGGUCACAAGUCCGUGUAAAGGCUGAGUGGAGG
rnacentral:ribozyme from 1 species